AACGAACGCUGGCGGCAGGCUUAACACAUGCAAGUCGAACGCCCCGCAAGGGGAGUGGCAGACGGGUGAGUAACGCGUGGGAAUCUACCCAUCCCUACGGAAUAACGCAUGGAAACGUGUACUAAUACCGUAUACGCCCUACGGGGGAAAGAUUUAUCGGGGAUGGAUGAGCCCGCGUUGGAUUAGCUAGUUGGUGGGGUAAAGGCCUACCAAGGCGACGAUCCAUAGCUGGUCUGAGAGGAUGAUCAGCCACAUUGGGACUGAGACACGGCCCAAACUCCUACGGGAGGCAGCAGUGGGGAAUAUUGGACAAUGGGCGCAAGCCUGAUCCAGCCAUGCCGCGUGAGUGAUGAAGGCCUUAGGGUUGUAAAGCUCUUUCACCGGAGAAGAUAAUGACGGUAUCCGGAGAAGAAGCCCCGGCUAACUUCGUG
rnacentral:rRNA from 1 species